rnacentral:rRNA from 1 species
AUUGAACGCUGGCGGCAGGCCUAACACAUGCAAGUCGAACGAGUGGCGGACGGGUGAGUAAUGUCUGGGCAUCUGCCUGAUGGAGGGGGAUGACUACUGGAAACGGUAGCUAAUACCGCAUACCAUCGGAUGUUCCCAGAUGGGAUUAGGUAGUAGGUGGGGGAAAGGCUCACCUAGGCGCCGAUCCCUAGCUGGUCUGAGCGGAGGACCAGCAACACUGGAACUGAGGCACGGUCCAGACUCCUACGGGAGGCAGCAGUGGGGAAUAUUGCACAAUGGGCGCAAGCCUGAUGCAGCAAUGCCGCGUGUAUGAAGAAGGCCUUAGGGGUGUAAAGUACUUUCAGCGGGGAGGCGUUACCCGCAGAAGAAGCACCGGCUAACUCCGUGCCAGCCGCCGCGGUAAUAC